AACGUAAGAUGACUGUAGGUGAAAGCUUACAUCUCUUCGGAGCAUUUUACGAGGUGCUGCAUGGUUGUCGUCAGCUCGUGCCGUGAGGUGUCGGGUUAAGUCCCAUAACGAGCGCAACCCUACCUUUAGUUGCCAUCAGGUAAUGCUGGGGACUCUAAAGGAACUGCCUACGCAAGUAGUGAGGAAGCGGGGAUGACGUCAAAUCAGCACGGCCCUUACGUCCAGGGCUACACACGUGCUACAAUGGCCGAUACAGAGGGCAGCUACCUGGUGACAGGAUGCAAAUCUCCAAAGUCGGUCUCAGUUCGGAUCGGAGUCUGCAACCCGACUCCGUGAAGUUGGAUUCGCUAGUAAUCGCGCAUCAGCCAUGGCGCGGUGAAUACGUUCCCGGGCCUU
rnacentral:rRNA from 1 species